AAUGCUUCAGUAAAACAACUGAGAAGAAACUCCUGCUUAACCACAAAUACUUUUAUUUCCUUAACUUGCACACUUGGAUUCAGACGACCGCUUGUCAACAGGAGAUUUUUUUUUAAACAUAAAGGAGCAUUUAAAGGACAUGUCCACUGCUUUUGACGUCCGUCAACAAUUGUCAGUUACAGUUAGAUCUCCGUCAUAUUCCUGAAGUGACAGUGAAUCAAUUCUGGGAAAUUACAGAGAUCAGUUCAAGAAAAAAAAAGUAUGUUUUUACUCCACUACAUUUUUUUCACAGCAUUGCUUACUGGUUAAAUGUUAGAUGAAGAUUAGUUAAGAAAAUAUGAUGCAUUGUUAUAGAAGAUUGACCCAAAUAAUUAAAAACGUUGUUAAAAUAAGCUAUACCGUGACAACAUUUAAAUGCUUUUACAUGUCAUUACCUCACUCAUAAUAUUCCAAUUUGUUCUUAGUACAUAUAACAAUCUGAAUGGUACUUUUACAUUUCACACAUUAAAUAGUAACUAAACCCCAAACAGCUAAAAAACAUUUUAGUGUUUUUCAGUGUUUGUGUUUAUCUAGCAAAAGCACAUUGCUAUCACCAGAAAAUCACUAAUACUAAUAAACCAGAUUUUGUAAUGUACUGAUGGCUUCAUUUCAAGUACACUGAAAAGAGAGAAAAGACUUGCGCUGUACUGUGAUUGUAAUGCUACACUGGUUAUUGAAAAUGAGCUGCUGUCAACGUGACUGGGCGCAACAGACAGAAUGAGUCAGCCUAAAUAACCCAGCCGGCCCACGUUUUAAGACUUCAGGUCAAUAAGCUCCACCCACCUCUACCUGCAGUCAACCUACAAAGUAAAAAAAACGCAACUCAGUAGGGGGAGCAGUGAGUCACACACCUCAACUCCUGUUCACCCGAAUUAAUUAAAUUUUUAUUCACUAUUUCACUUCAGCUAAGGUCAGUUUAAUUGGCACAAUUUGCGGUUUUGUUCACUUCAGUUGAGAUCAAUCUGGGUAGGUUCACUUCACUCUCACACCAGUUCAUUUCAAUCAAAGCUAACUGCCUCUCUGUAUCUACAGCUUCUCACGGUCAAACAAACAGAGCAAGGCUGAAUAUCUACCCCUGUGGAGAAUCUGCCAAGACGCUGAUGGAGCAAUUUUCCCAAACUAAUAAUUUUCCGUCCACCAGUCAAGAAGACAAGUUCUCCAAUGUGGGCCAAAGGCUCACUGAUAA